CCUAAUACAUGCAAGUCGAGCGAACGGACGAGAAGCUUGCUUCUCUGAUGUUAGCGGCGGACGGGUGAGUAACACGUGGAUAACCUACCUAUAAGACUGGGAUAACUUCGGGAAACCGGAGCUAAUACCGGAUAAUAUUUUGAACCGCAUGGUUCAAAAGUGAAAGACGGUCUUGCUGUCACUUAUAGAUGGAUCCGCGCUGCAUUAGCUAGUUGGUAAGGUAACGGCUUACCAAGGCAACGAUGCAUAGCCGACCUGAGAGGGUGAUCGGCCACACUGGAACUGAGACACGGUCCAGACUCCUACGGGAGGCAGCAGUAGGGAAUCUUCCGCAAUGGGCGAAAGCCUGACGGAGCAACGCCGCGUGAGUGAUGAAGGUCUUCGGAUCGUAAAACUCUGUUAUUAGGGAAGAACAUAUGUGUAAGUAACUGUGCACAUCUUGACGGUACCUAAUCAGAAAGCCACGGCUAACUACGUGCCAGCAGCCGCGGUAAUACGUAGGUGGCAAGCGUUAUCCGGAAUUAUUGGGCGUAAAGCGCGCGUAGGCGGUUUUUUAAGUCUGAUGUGAAAGCCCACGGCUCAACCGUGGAGGGUCAUUGGAAACUGGAAAACUUGAGUGCAGAAGAGGAAAGUGGAAUUCCAUGUGUAGCGGUGAAAUGCGCAGAGAUAUGGAGGAACACCAGUGGCGAAGGCGACUUUCUGGUCUGUAAC
rnacentral:rRNA from 1 species